GAUGAACGCUGGCGGCGUGCUUAACACAUGCAAGUCGAACGAAGCAUUUAAGACAGAUUACUUCUGUUUGAAGUCUUUUAUGACUGAGUGGCGGACGGGUGAGUAACGCGUGGGUAACCUGCCUCAUACAGGGGGAUAGCAGCUGGAAACGGCUGGUAAUACCGCAUAAGCGCCCAGUACCACAUGGUACAGUGUGAAAAACUCCGGUGGUAUGAGAUGGACCCGCGUCUGAUGAUCUUGUUGUCGGGGUAACGGCCCACCAAGGCGACGAGCAGUAGCCGACAUGAGAGGGUGACCGGCCACAUUGGGACUGAGACACGGCGCAGAAUCCUACGGGAGGCAGCAGUGGGGAAUAUUGCAAAAUGGAGGAAACUCUGAUGCAGCGACGCCGCGUGAGUGAAGAAGUAGUUAGAUAUGUAAAGCUCUAUCAGCAGGGAAGAUAGUGACGGUACCUGAAUAAGAAGCUCCGGCUAACUACGUG
rnacentral:rRNA from 1 species